rnacentral:rRNA from 2 species
UGAGGAAUAUUGGACAAUGGAAGGAAUUCUGAUCCAGCCAUGCCGCGUGAAGGAUUACAGCCCUAUGGGUUUUAAACUUCUUUUGUAUGUGAGCAAUAAGUCUUACGUGUAGGACGAUGAGAGUAGCAUACGAAUAAGCAUCGGCUAACUCCGUGCCAGCAGCCGCGGUAAUACGGAGGAUGCAAGCGUUAUCCGGAUUUAUUGGGUUUAAAGGGUGCGUAGGCUGUUGAGUAAGUCAGUGGUGAAAUGUAUCAGCUUAACUGAUAAAUUGCCGUUGAUACUGCUUAGCUUGAAUACUGUUGCCGUGGGAGGAAUGUGUAGUGUAGCGGUGAAAUGCAUAGAUAUUACACAGAACACCGAUUGCGAAGGCAUCUCACGAAACAGGCAUUGACGCUGAGGCACGAAAGUGCGGGGAUCAAACAGG